CCCUGUACCGCUAAUGCAUGAUAAAGACAUUAAGGAGGGACGCAAGAGGUUAGUUUGGCUGGCGGAUGGAAAUGCCAGUUUAAGCAAGUAGGAAGGCUUUGUAGUAAAAUGCGCAGAGUUAAUUCAGAGAUGUGAUGACGAGGGGCUACGGCCCUGAAGUAAAUGAUACCAAAUUGCCAGGAAAAGCUUCGUAAUGGAUGUAUUAGUGCCCGUACCUCAAACCGACACAGGUAGACAGGUAGAGAAUACUAAGGUGCGCGAGAUAACUCUCGUUAAGGAACACGGCAAAAUAACCUCGUAACUUCGGAAGAAGAGGUACAGUAGUAAGGUGAAGGGAGAGACUCCCGGAGCUUGAGGCUGUUGCAACGGAGAGUCCCAAGCAACUGUUUAACAAAAACACAGGUCUCUGCUAACCCGAAAGGGGAAGUAUAGGGGCUGACACCUGCCCAGUGCUGGAAGGUUAACAGGAGAUGUCAUCGCAAGAGAAGCAUUGAAUCGAAGCCCCAGUGAACGGCGGCCGUAACUAUAACGGUCCUAAGGUAGCGAAAUUCCUUGUCAGGUAAGUUCUGACCCGCACGAAAGGUGUAAUGAUUUGGGAACUGUCUCAACGAGAGACUCGGCGAAAUUGGAUUAGCUGUGAAGAUACGGCUUACUCAUACCAGGACAGAAAGACCCCAUGGAGCUUUACUGUAGCUUGUCAUUGAUUUUGGGAUAUUCAUGUGCAGGAUAGGUGGGAGACUAUGAGAUGUAGACGUCAGUUUACAAGGAGUCGCCGGUGAGAUACCACUCUUGAAAGUUUUAGAAUCUAACCUCAGCCCGUGAACCGGGUGGGGGACAGUGGCUGGUAGGCAGUUUGACUGGGGCGGUCGCCUCCUAAAGAGUAACGGAGGCGCCCAAAGGUUCCCUCAGGCUGGAUGGAAAUCAGCCAAAGAGUGUAAAGGCAUAAGGGAGCUUGACUGUGAGACCAACAAGUCGAGCAGGUAGGAAACUAGGGCUUAGUGAUCCGACGGUUAGUGCGUGGAAGCGCCGUCGCUCAACGGAUAAAAGUUACCCUGGGGAUAACAGGCUGAUCUCCCCCAAGAGUCCACAUCGACGGGGAGGUUUGGCACCUCGAUGUCGGCUCGUCGCAACCUGGAGCGGUAGUACGUUCCAAGGGUUGGGCUGUUCGCCCAUUAAAGCGGUACGUGAGCUGGGUUCAGAACGUCGUGAGACAGUUCGGUCCAUAUCCGGUAUGAGCGGAAGAAAAUUGAGAGGAUUCGUCUUUAGUACGAGAGGACCGAGACGAACCGACCUCCGGUGUACGAGUGGUUCUGCCAAGAGCCGAUGCUCGGUAGCUGAGUCGGGAGCGGAUAAGCGCUGAAAGCAUAUAAGUGCGAAGCCCACCUCAAGAUGAGUUUUCUCACUGAGAAAUCAGGUAAGAUCCCCCGAAGAUAAUGGGGUAGAUAGGCUACAGAUGUAGAAGCAGCGAUGCUAAGUCGAGUAGUACUAAUAGAUCGAGGGUUUGC
rnacentral:rRNA from 1 species